GGGGGAAUCGACCCCUUCGGUGUCGUAGCUAACGCGUUAAGUGUUCCGCCUGGGGAGUACGCACGCAAGUGUGAAACUCAAAGGAAUUGACGGGGGCCCGCACAAGCGGUGGAGUAUGUGGUUUAAUUCGAUGCAACGCGAAGAACCUUACCAGGGUUUGACAUCCUGCGAACCUCUUAGAAAUUUGAGGGUGCCUUCGGGAAUGCAGUGACAGGUGGUGCAUGGCUGUCGUCAGCUCGUGUCGUGAGAUGUUGGGUUAAGUCCCGCAACGAGCGCAACCCACGUUUUUAGUUGCCAGCAUUUAGUUGGGCACUCUAGAAAGACCGCCGGUGAUAAACCGGAGGAAGGUGUGGAUGACGUCAAGUCAUCAUGCCCCUUACACCCUGGGCUACACACGUACUACAAUGCUACGGACAAAGGGCAGCGAACUCGCGAGAGCUAGCAAAUCCCAUAAACCGUGGCUCAGUUCAGAUCGUAGGCUGCAACUCGCCUACGUGAAGGCGGAAUCGCUAGUAAUCGCAGGUCAGCAUACUGCGGUGAAUACGUUCCCGGGCCUU
rnacentral:rRNA from 1 species